GCUAGAGGAGCCCAGGCUGAGAGAGAAAUGUGGGCUGGAAGGCUCCAAGCAAAUCUGCAGCAACUCUGCAAGUGAGAGCAACCAGUAGUGGGGACGCAGAGACAUGGAGCCUACAGCCUGGGUGUCCAGCCUGUCACAUGGGUGCCACAAGUGACAUGCAGCAGACUGGUGAGGAGACCAGCAGCACAGUGGCAUAUAGAACAAGGAGCAGAAAGAAGAGCAGCAGGUCAGGAAGGGAGCACACAGCAAGCAGCAGAAACCUGAGUAACAGAUGAGAAAAUCAGGGUUCCUGGUCAUCACCAAUUGGAAGCCCAUGUACAGCUGCCAGCCUCACCAGCACUAGAUAUGUGGCAUGGCAGAAAAGCAAAGUGGGUGGUUACCCCAGGACCAGGGCAGCCAGUGGAGACCCGAUGAGGAGGCCACUCUGUUACAGUGUGCAUGGAGGACCAAAGCUGAUGUAGGAGUACAAGGCCUCUAAGAGAUGGCUUUAAUCUACCCAUAGAGUGCAUGGAUUCACCAGGACUGGAAAUGAUGAAUGGAGAGGAAAUCCCCAUUUGCUAAGGAAUUGUAGGGGCACCAUGUAUUUUCACAGCUUCAUUUAGAAAACUUUCUCUGUCUCUGUUUGCCUUGAACACCUUUUAAAAAAAAAAGGGGUAUUUAAGUGCUUUACUUCCUAUUUUCAACCUACUUGUUAUGGGGAGAAAAAGAACAAAUAUAGAUUUAUUUUAUGGACCAUGAGAACAAUAUGCACCUUCUAGACAAUGGUUAUCGAGUCCUGUUCCUUCAUCAUGACAUCUUAUAUCUAAGCACAAUAUUUUAAGAAGGAUGAUCCUGAAAGGAGGAAGUAGAGAUACUGGAGAGUAUCCCCAAAGUGAGCAGAAAACAUUACCAACAUGAUGGAAUGCAAGCAGUAUGAUGAAAAUAAAGUAUGUUUAGUCAGAAGAAAAGUUGAUUAAGGAGGGAUACAAGGACAAUGUUCAGAUACUUGA